rnacentral:rRNA from 1 species
AGCGAACGCUGGCGGCAGGCUUAACACAUGCAAGUCGAACGGGCACUCCGGUGCUAUUUGCAGACGGGUGGGUAACACGUGGGAACUUACAUUUCGGUUCGGUAUAAUCCAGGGAAACUUGGACUAAUACCGGAUACGCCCUUCGGGGGAAAGAUUCAUCGCCGAUAGAUCGGCCCGCGUCUGAUUAGCUAGUUGGUGAGGUAAUGGCUCACCAAGGCGACGAUCAGUAGCUGGUCUGAGAGGAUGAUCAGCCACAUUGGGACUGAGACACGGCCCAAACUCCUACGGGAGGCAGCAGUGGGGAAUAUUGGACAAUGGGCGCAAGCCUGAUCCAGCCAUGCCGCGUGAGUGAUGAGGGCCUUAGGGUUGUAAAGCUCUUUUGUCCGGGAAGAUAAUGACUGUACCGGAAGAAUAAGCCCCGGCUAACUUCGUG